GUAGGACCCUUCAGAGCGUCUCGGUCCGAACUAUAUAUAGACCCGGAACUAGAACUAUAGUGGUACUGAAGCAGUGCUUAGUUUCGCUGUCUUUACUGUUGAUAUGAAACUGCGUUUGUGUACAAUCUCAAACUCGAACAACUCAUCCACAGGAUGAUUAAUCAUUCACUUGUUCCGAUAUUUAAACUGAAUUUUCAGAAACCAGUUUGCGUUUUGUUUCGACUGCGUUUCAUUUUGGGUCCGAGCUGAGAAAACGAAAGUUAGUCUGAGACUAAACCGGAUGACGAUGUUGGGUUUCUGAAUCUGUUCUUAAAGUCAACAGAUGUGUUGGUUUAUCAGAACCACUUUCAUACUGUUCGACCCUACUCACUUUAAUUCUUUAUCAAUUCAUAUCAUCAUAUCAACCUAGCUAUCAACACAGAUAGCUAGGUUAACCCAUUCCCCCUAUACAACACAGAUAGCUAGGUUAACCCAUUCCCUGUAUACAACACAGAUAGCUAGGUUAACCCAUUCCCCCUAUACAACACAGAUAGCUAGGUUAACCCAUUCCCCGUAUACAACACAGAUAGCUAGGUUAACCCAUUCCCCCUAUACAACACAGAUAGCUAGGUUAACCCAUUCCCCCUAUACAACACAGAUAGCUAGGUUAACCCAUUCCCCCUAUACAACACAGAUAGCUAGGUUAACCCAUUCCUAGUUGAGUGGAGGAUUCAAAUGAAGCUUAGACAAAGCGUUUCACUGUAACCUGGAGAGAUGUCAAUACAGUUAAAAGAAAUCCUCCAUAAAUGUUCUGUAGACAGGGGGCGGAGCCACAUACUGGGG
ensembl:lncRNA